UACGGAGGGUGCAAGCGUUGUCCGGAAUCACUGGGCGUAAAGGGCGCGUAGGCGGCUCAUGAAGGCUGUGGUGAAAUCCCUGGGCUCAACCGAGGAAGUGCAUUCGAAACUAACUAGCUAGAAGAUGGUAGAGGAAGGUGGAAUUCCAAGUGUAGAGGUGAAAUUCGUAGAUAUUUGGAGGAAUACCGGUGGCGAAGGCGGCCUUCUGGGCCAUUCUUGACGCUGAGACGCGAAAGCGUGGGGAGCAAACAGG
rnacentral:rRNA from 1 species